rnacentral:rRNA from 1 species
AUGCAAGUCGAACGGAAAGGCCCUUUCGGGGGUACUCGAGUGGCGAACGGGUGAGUAACACGUGGGUGAUCUGCCCUGCACUUUGGGAUAAGCCUGGGAAACUGGGUCUAAUACCGGAUAUACCUCAUGGGCUGCAUGGUUUGUGAGGGAAAGCUUUUGCGGUGUGGGAUGGGCCCGCGGCCUAUCAGCUUGUUGGUGAGGUUAUGGCUUACCAAGGCGACGACGGGUAGCCGGCCUGAGAGGGUGACCGGCCACACUGGGACUGAGAUACGGCCCAGACUCCUACGGGAGGCAGCAGUGGGGAAUAUUGCACAAUGGGCGCAAGCCUGAUGCAGCGACGCCGCGUGAGGGAUGACGGCCUUCGGGUUGUAAACCUCUUUCAGCACAGACGAAGCGCAAGUGACGGUAUGUGCAGAAGAA